GGGGGCGUCUGGGAUGGGUCUGGGGGCGGCUGGGGUGGGUUGGGGGCGGCUGGGAUGGGUCUGGGGGUAUCUCGGGAGGGUUUGGGAGCACCUCGGAUGGGUUGGGGGCGUCUGGGAUGGGUUGGGGGCGGCUGGGAUGGGUUGGGGGCGUCUGGGAUGGGUCUGGGGGCGGCUGGGGUGGCUCUGGGGGCGGCUGGGGUGGCUCUGGGGGCGGCUGGGGUGGGUUUGGGGUAUCUCGGGAGGGUUUGGUGGUACCUGGGAUGGGUUUGGGAGCACCUCGGAUGGGUUUGGUGGCACCUCGGGAGGGUUUGGGAGCACCUCGGAUGGGUUUGGUGGCACUUCGGGAGGGUUGGUGGUACCUGGGAUGGGGUUGGGGGUAUCUCAGGAGGGUUUGGUGGCACCUGGGAUGGGUUUGGUGGUACCUGGGGUGGGUUUGGUGGUACCUGGGAUGGGUUUGGAGGUACCUGGGGUGGGUUGGUGACACCUGGGAUGGGUUUGGUGACAUUGGGGACGCGGUUCGGGGGCGUUGGUGGCACGCGUUGGGGCCGACGUGGCCGCUGUGCCCAGGGCUGAAGCGGGGGCUGUGCCUGCGCAUCAACCACUUCCCCGAGGACCUGGAGUACGACCACGACAGCGCCGAGUACCUGCUGCUGUCACCUCAGUGUCACCUGUGUCACCUGUGUCACCUCCACUGUCACCUCAUCGUCACCUCAGUGUCACCACGACAGCGCCGAGUACCUGCUGCUGUCACCACGACAGCGCCGAGUACCUGCUGCUGUCACCUCAGUGUCACCUGUGUCACCUCAUCGUCACCUCAGUGUCACCUCAUCGUCACCUCAGUGUCACCACGACAGCGCCGAGUACCUGCUGCUGUCACCACGACAGCGCCGAGUACCUGCUGCGUGAGUAACCAUGGCAACGGGGACAUUGUCACCUCAGUGUCACCUGUGUCACCUCAGUGUCACCUCAGUGUCACCUCAGUGUCACCUCAGUGUCACCGCGACAGCGCCGAGUACCUGCUGCUGUCACCGCGACAGCGCCGAGUACCUGCUGCGUGAGUAACCGUGGCAACCGUGUCACCUGUGUCACCUGUGUCACCUGUGUCACCUCAGUGUCACCUCCACUGUCACCUCAGUGUCACCUGUGUCACCUCAUUGUCACCUCAGUGUCACCUCAUCGUCACCUCAGUGUCGCCAUGGCAAUGGUGUCCCUGUCACCACGGCGACCGUGCCUUUGUCCCGCGGCGCCGUGGGAACCAAACCCUGGCCUCGCGUUGCCAUGGCGACGCUCCCGGCAUCCUCCCCGUUUCCAUGGCGACGCUCCCGGCAUCCUCCCCGUUGCCAUGGAAACGCUCCCGGCAUCCUCCCGGCCCUGCCGUUGCCAUGGCGACGCUCCCGGCAUCCUCCCCGUUGCCAUGGCGACGCUCUGGUACCCAGCCUCGCGUUUCCAUGGCGACGCUCCCGGCAUCCUCCCCGUUUCCAUGGAAACGCUCCCAGCAUCCUCCCGGCCCUGCCGUCGCCAUGGGAACAUGCCCAGCAUCCUCCCCGUUGCCAUGGAANNNNNNNNNNNNNNNNNNNNNNNNNNNNNNNNNNNNNNNNNNNNNNNNNNNNNNNNNNNNNNNNNNNNNNNNNNNNNNNNNNNNNNNNNNNNNNNNNNNNAACGCUCCCGGCAUCGUCCCCGUUGCCAUGGAAACGCUCCCGGCAUCGUCCCCGUUGCCAUGGAAACGCUCCCGGCAUCGUCCCCGUUGCCAUGGAAACGCUCCCGGCAUCCUCCCCGUUGCCAUGGAAACGCUCCCGGCAUCCUCCCCGUUGCCAUGGAAACGCUCCCGGCAUCCUCCCCGUUGCCAUGGAAACGCUCCCGGCAUCCUCCCCGUUGCCAUGGAAACGCUCCCGGCAUCCUCCCGGCCCUGCCAUUGCCAUGGAAACGCUCCCAGCAUCCUCCCCGUUGCCAUGGCGACGCUCUGGUAUCCAGCCAUGCGUUUCCAUGGCAACCACGCCCAGCUCCCUGAUUGGCCCUCAGCCCCCGGGCUCUGAUUGGCCGGAGACCACAGAUCCCCAU
rnacentral:lncRNA from 1 species